CUUGUACAUAGUGAUGUUUUAGGUAUGGUGGACCUGUGAAGACACUGAAGGCACAAAUUACUAUUGAUGCCUUGAUAAGGAAGACAAGCCGUUGAGACUGUUGGAAACUACAUUUCAGGCUGUUAAGCUGGCUGCAGUGCUUGAGCAGAGCAUUUGAGAAGCAGCCUGUGUGUCUGCACUUCAAAGAAACGGUAAGCUUUCAGCUACUCCUCCAGCACCACGCCUGCCUGCCUGCUGCCACUCUCCUGGCCCUGGUAGUCUUGUACUCACCCUCUCAAAUGGUCUACUGUGUGUAGCCACGGCCACUGUGAGUCCUUAUGUGCAAUGAAGGGCUGUUAUGUCUGAAAACAACUUUCAUAGCAGUCCUUUGCAACUGAUAACUCUUCCAAUAUGUACCCUCUGUCGUGAUGAUCCCUGAGCCAAGCUCAAGAGGGAGAAGCUGUGGCAGUAUAUAAAGGGAUGGAGAGGAUGG